rnacentral:rRNA from 1 species
CCUACGGGAGGCAGCAGUGGGGAAUAUUGCACAAUGGGGGAAACCCUGAUGCAGCGACGCCGCGUGAGUGAAGAAGUAUUUCGGUAUGUAAAGCUCUAUCAGCAGGGAAGAUAAUGACGGUACCUGACUAAGAAGCCCCGGCUAACUACGUGCCAGCAGCCGCGGUAAUACGUAGGGGGCAAGCGUUAUCCGGAUUUACUGGGUGUAAAGGGUGCGUAGGUGGCAGGGCAAGUCAGAUGUGAAAGCCCGGGGCUCAACCCCGGUAUUGCAUUUGAAACUGUCCAGCUGGAGGGCAGGAGAGUUAAGCGGAAUUCCUAGGGAGGCGGUGAAAUGCGUAGAUAUAAGGGGGAACACCAGUGGCGAAGGCGGCUAACUGGAAUGUAACUGACACUGAGGCACGAAGGCGUGGGGAGAAAACAGGAUUAGAAACCCCUGUAGUC